UCUGCGGGAGAGAGCUGCGCUGUGUUUAUCCGGCGCGGACGCCGAAGGGGAAAUCGCCCGAAAUCUCUCAGGCAAAAGAACCGUAGA
rnacentral:ncRNA from 1 species